rnacentral:rRNA from 1 species
UAAUGUGAUUUUGAUGUUAGUUGGUUUACUGGCUAGCGUUGGAGUCAACUUACAACAUUGAUCGGUGCAGCGUUACAAACUUUAGUGUUUAGUGAUAUCAAUGAUGCAUUACAGCAAUGUAAUGUAUCUCCUUUAGCCUAGAAUGCAAGUCCCAUUGACUUGGGCUUAUCUUCCAAUUGAGAUGACUAUAGUAUUGGGGCAACUUGGUACUAUGGUUGAGCCAUAGAGGGUGAAAGUCCCUUAACGUUCAGGUAUUGAUAUCACGAACUAGAGAGCCAGCAAUGGCAUUUUGUUAGAGUCGGGUUGCUUGAGAGUGCAACCUAAAGAGCGAGGUAAACUGCUCGUAAGGCUAUAGAAAUAUCGCUAUGACACCGAUAGCAAACAAGUACCGUGAGGGAAAGUUGCAAAGUACUUUGAAGAGAGAGUUAAACAGGGCGUGAAACCGCUAGCUGGUAAACGAGUGGAGCCACGAAGUCGUUUCGUAGAAUAAAGGAUACAAAUUCAAUCAAGGUUUCGGCUUUGGUGCACUUUUGUUUAUUCUUCUAUGUAUGCGUACACUGCAACCAAUUAGACAAUCAAUUGUGGAAACAAUUGUUCAACAUAGGAAGAAAUUUCUAUGUAGGAUAAUGAAAUGUUUAUAUGUUAGCUGUAGGUAGUCUGGUGUGAUCCUUGUGGUCAUUCUGGGUGUAUGACAUGCUAGCAUGAGAACUACAAUUGAAUACUGAUUGGCACAAUGAAAAUCCAUAAUUUGGUAUUAGAUAACACUGGCGAUGUUGUAUGUGUGUACAAGUAUUUAUUAUUAGCGUAAGCUUGGUAGUUUUAAAUUUAGGCUGGCAGGCUACCUUGGGUUUCGGCCUUUGGUGCUUGUUUAGUUUCCUAUCUAAUUGGCUAUUAACUUUGCUAUUAAUCUUGUGCUUGCUAUGAUAGCAUAUGUGCAACAAUUGUUUAGUUAUUAUUGGCAGUGAGUAGGUCGGCUUUCCACACGACCC